CAGCAGCCGCCGCGGUAAUACAGAGGGUGCGAGCGUUAAUCGGAUUUACUGGGCGUAAAGCGUGCGUAGGCGGCUUCUUAAGUCGGAUGUGAAAUCCCUGAGCUUAACUUAGGAAUUGCAUUUGAUACUGGGAAGCUAGAGUAUGGGAGAGGAUGGUAGAAUUCCAGGUGUAGCGGUGAAAUGCGUAGAGAUCUGGAGGAAUACCGAUGGCGAAGGCAGCCAUCUGGCCUAAUACUGACGCUGAGGUACGAAAGCAUGGGGAGCAAACAGGAUUAGAUACCCCCGUAGUCCCUGUCUCUUAUAC
rnacentral:rRNA from 1 species